AGCCCCACUUUAGAGGUUUAAUUUCCCUUUUAUAACUCUCUUUGAAUAAUUCUGGUAAUUAUAAGAACAUACCGUGAAAUUUUCAACGAAAUCAGUCAGGUAGUUUUUGAAUCAUAAAACCAUAAACCCACAUGCAUUACCUUUUAUAUUACAUUAAUGUAUGUAGUGGAUAGAUAUAUUAUAUUUAUACAAUUAUCUUUAUUCUACUAUAUUUAAAAACUUUUAUGGUUUUUCCCUCAAGACCAAAUGAGCUCAAACUCUGGAAAUACAUUUGUCUAAUAGUCGGACCAAAUUGAUAAAAGUCAAGUUGCAAUUCGAUACAUGAAUUUCAUAUCGUAUUUUCCAGAAAAGAUUUUCAUUUGAAAGUUUGUCGUUUUAAAUCUAUUUCUAAAAACCAUCAUAAUAUAAAAUCGGCGAAUUGAAAUUUCAUGAAAGCGGUCGUGACAAAAGACAUUUAGUAAAACGUUUUCAGUUUAUCGAUAGAAAGCUGCAGCAAAUGCUGCAAGUUUAAAGUUCUCUUAAUUGUAUUGUCGAAUAGUAAUAAAAUAAAAAUUUAACCGUAGUUACUGGGGAUAGGAGCGGUCACUGUUGUAAGUGAGAAGUAGGGAAGGUAGGACACAUGAGGUUAUUUCAUUUAUAUAUGUAAGCAACGAUAAACCAUUGCUUGACAAAAGACGAUUCCGAGCGCAGUU